rnacentral:rRNA from 1 species
AUUGAACGCUGGCGGCAGGCCUAACACAUGCAAGUCGAACGAGUGGCGGACGGGUGAGUAAUGUCUGGGUAACUGCCCGAUGGAGGGGGAUAACUACUGGAAACGGUAGCUAAUACCGCAUACUAUCGGAUGUGCCCAGAUGGGAUGAGCUAGUAGGUGGGGUAACGGCUCACCUAGGCGACGAUCCCUAGCUGGUCUGAGAGGAUGACCAGCCACACGGGAAGUGAGACACGGCCCAGACUCCUAGGGGGGGCAGCAGGGGGGAAUAUUGCACAAUGGGCGCAAGCCUGAUGCAGCCAUGCCGCGUGUAUGAAGAGGGCCUUGGGGUUGUAAAGUACUUUCAGCGGGGAGGCGUUACUCGCAGAAGAAGCACCGGCUAACUCCGUGCCAGCAGCCGCGGAAUUU